UUUUAAAUUGAUUUACAUAUAUUAUAAUAUAAUAAUAUAAAUAAAAUAAAUAAAUAUAUAUUAUGCGGGUAUGGGGCGGGGUGGGUACUAAGGUACCCGUCCCCGCACCCAUACCCGUUCAUUUUUGUGGGUAAUUACCCAUACCCGUGCCCGUACCCAAAAUGUGGGUUUUUACCCUACCCGUUGUGGGUAAUUUUUGCGGGUACCCUCUGGGU
rnacentral:lncRNA from 1 species